rnacentral:rRNA from 1 species
CACCUGAACCCAUUCCGAACUCAGAAGUGAAACGAAAUAGCGUCGAUGGUAGUGUGGGGUUUCCCCAUGUGAGAGUAGAACAUCGCCAGGC